GACGAACGCUGGCGGCGUGCUUAACACAUGCAAGUCGAACGGAAAGGCCCUGCUUUUGUGGGGUGCUCGAGUGGCGAACGGGUGAGUAACACGUGAGUAACCUGCCCUUGACUUUGGGAUAACUUCAGGAAACUGGGGCUAAUACCGGAUAGGAGCUCCUGCUGCAUGGUGGGGGUUGGAAAGUUUCGGCGGUUGGGGAUGGACUCGCGGCUUAUCAGCUGGUUGGUGGGGUAGUGGCUUACCAAGGCUUUGACGGCUAGCCGGCCUGAGAGGGUGACCAGCCACAUUGGGACUGAGAGACGGCCCAAACUCCUACGGGAGGCAGCAGUGGGGAAUAUUUCACAAUGGGCGGAAGCCUGAUGGAGCAACGCCGCGUGCGAGAUGACGGCCUUCGGGUUGUAGACCGCUUUCGCCUGUGACGAAGCCUGAGUGACGGUAAUGUGUAAAGAAGCACCGGCUAACUACGUG
rnacentral:rRNA from 1 species